UACAGAGGGUGCAAGCGUUAAUCGGAAUUACUGGGCGUAAAGCGUGCGUAGACGGUUAUUUAAGUCAGGUGUGAAAGCCCCGGGCUCAACCUGGGAAUUGCAUUUGAGACUGAAUAGCUAGGGUGCGGAAGAGGGAAGCGGAAUUUCCGGUGUAGCGGUGAAAUGCGUAGAUAUCGGAAGGAACACCAGUGGCGAAAGCGGCUUCCUGGGUUAACACUGACGCUCAUGCACGAAAGCGUGGGGAGCAAACAGG
rnacentral:rRNA from 1 species